rnacentral:lncRNA from 1 species
CCUCUAAACGUGUUAUAUAUAUUUAGUGGCAACUUUAAUUGCCCCUAAAACUUAUUUUCCCAAUAAUUGCAAUAUCCAAUAUUUUCAUACAUUUUUAUGGUCACCUAAUAUCUAAAUUUUAAGAUACACGUACAUUGCCUACCAAUAAAGCAUCCAAUAUUAAUUAGUGAACACAAAUAAUUCUCAAGUUGAAUGAUAGCAGAUACUUUCAUAAUAAAAAAUAUUGUAUAUUGUUUAACGUCAGUGUACACAUAUGUGAUAAGAAAAAAGAACAUUGUGGCCUUCAAACUCGUCCUUCCUCGACAGCAUUUGUUUUCUAGAAUCUUAUCCCUGCAAUUAAGAGUAAAAACAUAUGAUUACUUUGACAAUUUUCAUAAUCUAAUAUUAAAAUAAAGAGGUAACCUUGGAGAAAAGAUUGCAAAUGCAUUUUAAGAAAAUAAAGAGACAAUAUUGAUCAAUGAAAGUUGUGCAACAUAGUUUAGUCCUAGCAUACUAAGCUCAAAUCUUAAAAAAUGCUAAGUGUAUUUCCCUACAGGAUAAAAGUGGAGCAACUAAAUAACUAAAACCCAAGACCACAAACAUGAGAACUUAAAAAAACUUAAUUCAAUAACAAAAAACAUACCCAGUGAAAUUCCACUAGUGGGGUCUAGAAAAGGUAAUGUUUAUGCAAACUUUACCCUUACCUCGAGAGGUAAAGAUGUUGUUUCCCACAGAGAGUCGCAUCAUGAACCACAUAUUUGUCCAAAAAAGUUCAUGCUCAUAUUUUAGAUAGGUCUCAUCACAAGUUUUUUAAAACACAACACAAGAAAUUUCCAAUCAUAUCAAUAUUUCUUGGGAAAAUGGAACUGUAAUAAAUUCCUGGAGGAAAUGUUAAUACAUCAGUUUUCUCCAGAUGUAGAGGAAACAUGCAAAAUGAGCUUGGCCACUCCUUCAGUACAAGUAACUGGACUUUGGAGAUCAUCUUGAAGCUACACUGUUGACCCUUUUGGACAAACUAUUUCAUUGUCGACACAAUUCAUUUGGUACUACAGCUUAGUAUUGUGGUAAACGAACUAUGUUAUUUUUCGGGGAAGGGUAUGUAAUGAUAUUGCCAAAUGUUGUGAUGCUUUUACUUUGGUAUAAGAUGUUGCCAUAUAUUUAGCUAUGUAAAAUCAUAAUGUGCAUACUCAAAUGCAAUAAAUAAACCCAUAACCAUGUUCCUUUUAAGAAGUAAUUUUUCUUUUAGCAAAACAAAUUUCCUAUUUAGUAGUAUUAUCAUUCAGUAGUGGCACAUCCAGGUCAUCUAAAGUACCAAGCAUUUGACCCUUUGACCUUUAUUUUUAUAAUUUAGACAGAUCUUGCAAGUUUCUAAAGUUGACAUAGUUAACUUGGACUUGUACUGGCUUGAUCCUAAACCUUUGAUGAAUUUUGUAUUAACAGUUAACCUAGUAUUUAAUUCUAGUGUUCUUGUGGAAAACGUAUUUAGAAAAUGGAGUGCAGCUAUAGGCACACAACGGACUGGAAAUUGAAACUCCAUACACUGACCUAACUAGUUUGGGAUUAAGGCAUAGUUCAUAUUGUACUUGUGAAAAAACAAUAAGGAGGAAAAAUGAUACAUAACAUGGGAAAAUUAACAGAAACUGGAAAGUCCUACACCGUAUUAAAUCGGUAACACCAUUGCCGAGCUUCGAUCACUACCCUUUUAUUUAUAUAAUUUUACCUCACAUAAGUGCAGACUAAGAAGUAUCAAUCUUCUAACAGUUAUGUUGCACAUCCAUCAUCCAGCAAAGCAGAAAAUUCUAAAAGAGGAAAGUAUUGAAGCUCAACAAGUAAUUCAAUCUGAAUUCGUCUUUUAAGGAAUUCAAGCAGAAUAGAGCUCGGCAACGGAUAAAGUAAGUAUACACAAACCUUACUCCAACCUCAAAGGUAGAGAGACUAUUUCCCAUAGACCCUAAAGAAUAUUAGUAUCUAUAUCAGCCUAAUAGAGAUCAGUUCUCUCAUAUCACACCCAUUAUACCAAAGUUAGGUACACAUAAGGUCUAGAAACAUACUUGAAUCCUUUCUACCAAAUAUUUAAGGCGUUCGAGCUAUCCCAACAAGAACUAUCACAUUUAAAUUUAAAUUACUUCAGUCGAGCACUAACCAGUAGAUUAGAAGUAGUUUUACAAUAAGGGACCUUGGCUAGUAGCAUUUCUUAAGCAAUGAGUAUGAAAAAUUAUCAAACUUCAAAGUGAGUUCCUUAUAUGAUAAGGGGUCACGUAUUUAUAGUGAAAAAUAAGACUCUACGUACCAUACUUUAUUUUUGGAAAAUCAAGACAAAUUCAGAAAAUCGAAAGGAUUCCCCUUUUUUUUGAAAAAUUGAAAAUCAGAGAUUAACAAGCAACAAAAUUAGGAAUUCAAAAAUUGGGGCUUUCCUUUUACCUAAAAAAAAGAUUCAGCGGCUAGAGAAUAUGAACACGGUGGUAAUGUUAUAGAAACAAACAUUUAAAUCAUUCAAUUCCUGCUAAUACAUAAACAAAUAAUUAGUAAAUAAGACAAGUUCUGCUAUAAGUUCUAAACUUAGCAGCAAGAGCCUCGCAAAGCCGCAAAAAACAGAACCUCGCAAAGCCGCAAAAACAUCAGAAGUUCGAUCACAGGGACCUAAUUAUUGAUCUUAAGCUAAAAAAAACUAGCAUAUAAGCUCAGGACCCAUAAAUAAUGAGAAGUGGGAGGAAAAAUAGGAUAUCGAGCCCACAUACCAGUGUCGCAUGAUGUGGGAGACUUCUUACAUUUCCAAAUUUGGUUUCAACUAGAGGAUCCUUCUACAGAUCCUUAAGCUCCUUCAACAUGCGCUUCAACGCCCAUAAAUUAGCUCGUAUACCUUCAAAUCAAAGCGCUAACCCAAAUAUAUAUUCAAUUUUUUCAUCAAAAUCCACUAAUCCCCAAAUUCAAGUAAAGUAGAAAACGAUUACAAACACAAAUUAAGGUCGCAGAAAUAAGAAAUCUUAAGCAUAUAAAAACAGAAAAUUAUGAGAUCUAAAGGAUUGUUCAUGCGAAAAAUCCUAGAUCUUUUAAUUAACAUUCAUAUGCAGAAGAUGUGGUAGUGAUUCAAUAUAGUGAAAUUGGAGACUUGUAUAGCUUGGAUUAGGGUUUUGAGCCAUUCCUAGGGAAGAAGUGGAAAAUGUUGUCCGUAGUCAUAUUUUAGGGCGGGAGUUCUUAGCGAGGUUCUAGAAUGUACACUAGA